CACUGGCGGCUCGAGUGGUGGCCACUUUUAUUGGGUCUAAAGCGUCCGUAGCCGGCUUGGCAAGUCCCCUGGGAAAUCUGGCGGCUUAACCGUCAGGCGUCCAGAGGAUACUGCCAGGCUUGGGACCGGGAGAGGUGAGAGGUACCUCAGGGGUAGGGGUGAAAUCUUGUGAUCCCUGAGGGACCACCAGUGGCGAAGGCGUCUCACUAGAACGGGUCCGACGGUCAGGGACGAAAGCUGGGGGCACGAACCGG
rnacentral:rRNA from 1 species